UACUUCCUCGUAUGCUCCACUCUUCCAAUGUAACAGCAUCGCUAACCUUAGCGUGUCUCCUAAUGCCCAAAUAAGUAGUGCCUGUAGGACCUGUGAUGUCGAUCAGCUUCCCUUGGCCCAACCAAUCAUCAAACCAAAAGUGACAGUUGUUUCCAUCUUGAAUAUAAAACCUCAAAAAUUCAUAAGCCACAUCUCUCAAUUUGAGUAACUUCCUCCAUAUCCAAGAUCCCUUUGUGUCAUCUCUUACAUCCCAGAAUGAAUUAUAUUUGAG
rnacentral:lncRNA from 1 species